GAGGGGGAGGGCGGGACCGGGGAACAGGAGGGGAGGGGGACCCGGGUGCUUCCAGCGGUCCGGGCCCGCGGACGGAGUGCGGGCCGAUCCCGCUCACUGUCCCCUUCCGCAGUCCGCGUGCAGCUCCAGGGAGCUGUCCGCCCCGGUGGUUCUGAACCAGGCGCCGCCGAAACGCUCCAGGAGCACCCAGGGAGCAAGAGAAGCCCUGCGACAGCAGCAAGGGACACUGUGGGGCUGCAGGGCCCAGCAAAACAACAACAACAACAACAACAAAAACACUUUCAAACUCCCCUACAUGGUAAUUCUCAGAGUGGAACAUAUACAGACAGGCUCAUAGUAGGAAGAAAAGAAAAAGAAAAGGAAGACAGCUCCACAACACACAAUGCUAGGCCAGAGGAUUACCCCAAAGAGUGGGAAGUUGACACUGUGGGACCAUGGUCCUUCCUGUUGAAUCUAAGCAGGCCUGUGACUACAGUGGAAGGGAAGCUACCUGACUUCCAAGGCUGACUCAUAACAAGUGCUGCUGCCUUGGCUUCUGGGGAAGCCAGCUGCUGCAUGGUUAGAUCACUCUGCAGCAAGACCCCCACAGAGUGCAACUGAGGCCUCCACAACAGCUGGCACCAGUGUGACAGUCACGGGAAUAAACUACCCUGGAAGUGGAUCCCGUCACUCCAAACAAGCCUUCAGAUGGCUGCCAGCUGAGCCAACAUCCAACUGAGCCUCAUGAAAAAUCCCAGACAUGGCCAUCAUGGCGUUAAUCUUAUCUCCAAGGAGAAAAAUUGGGAAGAGAGGCCUAGAUUCCUCAACAGAAGCGGGAAGGAAAGGUUUGCAGAAUGAAGAGUGUGAAGUGAGGUUUGUGGUUUGAAUCAUCCGAAUGUCAAGGAGAAAAGAAGAAAAAUGAAUCAUCAUCAUUUGACCACGGUAUUUACAGCUAGCGGAAGGGACAAGAGGAGAAAAAAGCAAGGGAGGAGAUAAAGGAAGAACGUCUCAGAAUAAAAUUGGGGUGGGUGGGGGGAGGAGGAGGAAGACAGUCUAAGAAAUUGGUUUGGUUGCACCAGUACUGGCCACAACACAAAAAUUUGUCCAUUCCUGGUUGAAAUUAAAAAUAAAUGUGCAUGCA
rnacentral:lncRNA from 1 species